UAUUAUAGAUUAAUAACAAUACAUUAAUGAAACUGACUUGACUUGAUUUGAAAGCUUUGUAAAAAGGGGAUAUUUGUGGUGAGAAAUAAAUGUAAAAAAUUUAAUUUAGUGUCAGAAACAGAGCCAGGACCCAGUUGUGAAGAGACU